CCCCCCCCCCCCCCCCCCCCCCCCCCCCCGGCCGAGCCCGGGGGGCCGUCGGGGGCUGCGCGCUGGGCUCCGACGAGCCGCUGUUGUGCGCGAUGGCGAGUUCGCCUCGGGGGAGCGGGGCGGGGUGAGCGGGGGCCCGGGAGAAAUCGCGUAGGGAAACGACCCGAGGGGAGCUGGGGAUCGCCGCGGGUGCCGGAGCUCUGCGUCUGACAAGGGGCAGCGGUGCUCGCCGCCGCUUCCCGCGGCAGACUUGUGAACUCCUGGCGGGUCCCCGGCGGCGCCGGGAUUUGCCCGGGCCAGACGGCUCGGGGGGAGGCGGGGGCGCGGGCAGCCGUCCAGCCCCGAGGCGUGCGCCGAGCAGAGCCGGCUCGUUCUCCCGGUUAGGCGCCUGCCGGUGGCGGGUUAAUCUCGGAUGAAGGGUUUAGCUGGGCGAGCGCGGCCCGCCCGCGCUAUUAGCCGGAUCGGUGCGUGUGCGCGCCGCGGCGGUGAUUAGCUUUUAAUGGCUUCUGCCCGAAGCAAGGCGGGCGGCGGUGCCGGCCGAGCGCUGGGGCCGCCGCCGCGCUCACCCCUCUGCUCUCCGCAGGCAGGGCAGGGGACAGCGGCCGCCCGCUGCCGUCUUCCCCGGGCACCGGAGCCGCGGUCUCCCGGGCAGGAGCUGGGACCGGCCCGCCGUCGCCCCUCGCAUUGCCGCCGCUCAGGGCCAGCAACGCUUCCCACACGAUACAAAUUACAGACCACAGAAGGAGGCAGGAGAAAACCUCCCAGUGUGACAUUCUUCAGCGUGAGGAAGCCUGAAUAAAUCUGGAGAGCUAUAACUGAACCUCUUCCUGCAAAAUACAUCCCAUUACAUGGCAAGUGGAUCUGUAAUAGUCUCCUUUGAUCUCUGCCAAUACAUGUAUUUACUUAGGCAUUGUGCAGGCAACAAAAGAAAUACAUGUGUUUUUCUAGCCCCCAAAUGUACAUGUCAAUGUCUGUACACCUUCUAAGAUCCACUUUCGUUGUGUGUGGGGUCCCAGCCUACUUCAGUGUGUGAUAAUUAGAAAGUGAGCCAAUGUCUGUACACCUUCUAAGAUCCACUUUCAUUGUGUGUGGGGUCCCAGCCUACUUCUGUGUGUGAUAAUUAGAAAGUGAGUCUACUUCAGUGUGUGAUAAUUAGAAAGUGAGCCUUCCAGACUGCCUUCUCCCAUUCAUUGUUAUUUGAUCAUAUGAAGAAAUACCAGGAAAGAAUCAUCAGGAUUGGUUUUCAAAAUGGCUUUAAAGUGCCUCUUUGUUACUAUGACUGGACCUGGGACAAUGGUAGAUGUGUCUCAAAGGUCUGCUAAAAAUGAAAAUGUGUAUUGCAU
rnacentral:lncRNA from 1 species